rnacentral:lncRNA from 1 species
UGUCCACUAUUAUCCCAUAAUCUCUUUUCACCUUAGUUUCAUUAAACAUUUAUGAAGAAUCACCUGUGCACAGCGCUACGCAAGAAGAUACAGAGACAUAAAAAUGCAUUGUUUUUCUCUUUCAUGGGCUUAGUAUUUUAACACUUUCCCUCAUAUAGUUAAUAUUGCAGGUUAUUUUCGGAAUAAUGGGGAUGUCUUGAGGGUAUGAAUUAAUGUCAACCAAUAAUAUGUAAUGUGUAUUUUCUACAUCUUCAUAUUUUCGAGUUUAUUAAAAAUGUAGAGUAGAUUUUUACUAUAGAACAUGUCAGAGUAUUUCCAUAAUUUAAUUCCUAAAAUUUAGGUUUUCCUUGCCACGAUGCACUUUGAUUUGCAAUUCUAUUUCUUUUAUUUUGGAUGUUGGCUAGGAUUCUUAGGAUGGAAAUAAAGCAGAAAAGAAGUCAUCCCGCUAACACAGGAUAUACGGGCAUAGCGAAUGAGUUCCUGUAAUUCGUAUUCCUUUGAAGAAGCAGUUUGAGAAACAGAAAGAAGUAAAGACUAAGUUAAGGGAAAUCUUGAAAACUAGAAGACUAUGGUUAAAUCCAUGCUAAAGAGUUAUAUAUGUAGUUUUGAAUGGAGAAUGUAAGGAAG